GCCCUGGUAGCUCAGCUGGAUAGAGCAGGAGACUUCUAAGCUCAAGGUCGUAGGUUCGAAUCCUACCCGGGGCACCA
rnacentral:tRNA from 2 species